CCAAGAUCACACCACUACGCUCCAGCUGGGGGAGACAGUGAAACUCCAUCUCAAAAAGAAAAAAGAAUGGAGAGUCAAGGGACUUAUAUGGUAGUAAGAUUUCUACAUUCCACUUGAGGGUAGCCAACAAGAUGUAAGCAGAAGUCUUAUGGUGUGGCUUCUGGGAAACCUCUCCAAAGAUCUUCAGAGAAUGAUCUUUGCAGGAAAUCUCUGUUACCUGAAGAUGAAAAGGAAUGUGAACCAACUCUGAUCCCAAUUCAGACCUUCGCCAACUGACAGUUCAGGUGAAGGCCCUCUGGGGUGACCAGAAAGCAAAGAAAAGAUGAGUAUAUUAUUGCUGAACAGUUCUCUUUCAGAAAAAGAGAAUAAAAUAAAGAAAGAGACCUAAGCCUUGAAAUACAGUAAGUGGGAGAAAACCUGGUAUUAAAAGUAGGAUUAAAAAUCUUACAGAUUUAGACAACGAGACUGAUCUCAAACCUGGUGAAAGCAGUAUUUAUUCUGAGUUGCAGAGAAGAUUUAGAAUUUUGGAAAGUACUUCGACACCAUUCCUAAGUUCAAGCAAUAUUUUAAUAUCCUCUCUCUCUCUC
rnacentral:lncRNA from 1 species